AUGUCUCACAAUAAACACAAAGCUGGAGAGAUAAAAUCUAAGGAAGUAGAUAAUGAAAGAAGACUAUAUAUUUGUAUAAAGAAGUAUGAAACCAUCAUCAAACAGUUUGAUGAGUUAAUGCAGAUAAUGGAUGCCAAUAACACAUUGGUGAAGCCACGAAAGAGACAAAAAAGGAGCGGUUCAAAUGCAAGCACAAGUACUUCUUCAUACCAAUUGUAUCGUGAAAGUAAUGAAGUCAUAUUGAAGACUGUGACUAAGUUUUUGCAAGAACUAGGGAGUAUUCCUUCAGAUUCAGACUUGUGA